GACAAACGCUGGCGGCGUGCCUAAUACAUGCAAGUAGAACGCUGAAGGAGGAGCUUGCUUCUCUGGAUGAGUUGCGAACGGGUGAGUAACGCGUAGGUAACCUGCCUGGUAGCGGGGGAUAACUAUUGGAAACGAUAGCUAAUACCGCAUAAGAGUAGAUGUUGCAUGACAUUUGCUUAAAAGGUGCAAUUGCAUCACUACCAGAUGGACCUGCGUUGUAUUAGCUAGUUGGUGAGGUAACGGCUCACCAAGGCGACGAUACAUAGCCGACCUGAGAGGGUGAUCGGCCACACUGGGACUGAGACACGGCCCAGACUCCUACGGGAGGCAGCAGUAGGGAAUCUUCGGCAAUGGACGGAAGUCUGACCGAGCAACGCCGCGUGAGUGAAGAAGGUUUUCGGAUCGUAAAGCUCUGUUGUAAGAGAAGAACGAGUGUGAGAGNGGAAAGUUCACACNGNGACGG
rnacentral:rRNA from 1 species